rnacentral:lncRNA from 1 species
AAAUUGAACUCUUCUCUUCUCUUCUCUGUGGAGACGCUGAGCCAGCCAUCAUCAUGUAGCAGACAAGGGAGUUGCAGGAGAAGAAAAAGUUUGGGUACCAUCAAAAUUGAUCAAGAUUCGAGUUGAAAAAGACAACCCUCUUGACAAGGACGACUGACAGUGCUUUGUUUUUAUCUUCACAGAAAAACCUCCAGAAGUCAAAGGACACUUGGGUAGAUACUUAAAGAAAAAAAAGGUAGCUAUAACCAUCAAACGAAAGGAACGUGCCAUACGGUAAGCUUUACAGCUGUCUCUCAAAUAACUCUAUUUCUCUUCAUUUUCUAGUCCCUAUUCAAUUAAACCAAUACUGGAUUUAGAGUUGGGUUUGGCUUUCCUCCCCUAAAAUCCAAGCAUGUUGUUUAACUAAAUUUUAGUUUCAGUAUUAUAUCAAGAAGCCAAUUGAUGUAAUACAAAAUAAAUGAAGAAUUUGAGGACUAUCUUUUGUCUUUUCUUGGCUCUUUCUUUCAAGGUGUAUACCCUCUCAUAAUUGUCAUUUUCCCGUGGUUGCCUUUCCCAGCAUACAUACAUAUGCAAGCAAACAUUUCUCUGCUGGUACUUAUGUCUGAGUCCCACACAGCCAAUGACAGCAAUCCCUGGAUGCUCCGUAAAGGAACUGGGCCAGACCUCCUGGACUGCACUGCAUCUGACUCACGCCACAUCAACUGACUCCGACCAGAGCCUCCAGUACUGGCUUCAAUCAAGUUAAGGAUUUCAACCUAGAUCUUCAAUCAAGCAAAUCCCAUCUAACAUGCACUGGAGAUAACCCGUUAGAGACUUCCCCUAUACUAACAUUUUCUUCCCACAGGACCCCACAAGGCUACCAUCGUCCUGUUUCAGCAGGAAGUAACUUGGAAGAUGCUACACCCCUGUUCCCCAUUAUUGUCUAUUAGGGUAGUGUAAGCCUAGUUAGGAAUAACUUUCUUAUUGUUUAGAGUUGGUAUUGGAAGGAGGUGUUCAAGUUGGACACCCCUUUCAGAUGACUUUAGGGCUUAGCCGGAAUAGACAUAGUUAGGAUGUGCAAUUAUAUACAAUUAUUGUAUCUUCUUGUAUUUCACCUUUAUGAUUGUUAAUUUUGUAUGUUUUACACCAUUAAGUUUUAAUCCUCUUUUAGACUAAAAGGGGAAUUGUAGGGAGAUCCUGUAGCCCCACCUCCUAGGAGCUAGGUACAGGUGUGCUUGACUAUGCCUGUCAGGGUGUGGUCAGGGGAGGUUCAGGGUGACUCAUGGGGAGUUCUUAAGGGGGCAGCAGACACAUGGGAGCCCUUCUCUCUGGCCUCCCUAGCCUGCUGCCUCUGGGCAUGCUCUGGCUUAUGCUUGGCCGCUGUUUAUCUGAAUAAAGAUAUUUUAACCUUACCGACUAUGGAUAGUCUUCGUUCUCGUUAUAUCCCAGUGCCAAGAUUAAAG